GAGUCUGAAGGCUGAUGAAGUACAGUGGCUUCUUAUUUUCUGGUAGUCCUCCAAAGAAUUACGCCUUUUAAAGGUUAUAAAAGCUCCAGUGCAGAAUAUGAAGCCACUCUUUAAAAUUAGUUUAUAAAUAACAGUGCUGGAGUACUGUCUGUAUUUGGGGCAUUCAAAAAAUAUAUCCAACCCCAACUGUGGAGUGAGGUCUGCUAAUAUGAAUUCUUGUACCUGGGAAUUCCCAAAUCCCGCCAAUUCCCUGUUAACUUGCAGUUGAAGACUAGACUGCUAAUUAGCACAAGACCCUUGAUUCCUUCCCAAAAUGUGGUCUGGUGACUGGAACUGGAAGCCAAAGCUUCAAGGUUUCCUUUACUGUACAGGGCAAAAAUAAAGUGGGAAGAAAUUAAAACUGUUCCUCUAAAGCAACUCUCUGGCAUCAGUGCUUGAUCCUUCUGUUAUGUGUGAUAUCAUUAAACAGUCUUCUGUAAUAUUUACCACUCUUGUGGGACAAAUUCAGAUAUAAUAUAAAGAGGUAAUAAUACUGUCUUCCUGGGAGCUGCAGCUAAUUAUAACAUACUUGAAUUUGGAUCUUUCAUCUGAAGGACCUCUACCAAAUGAGCAACCUUUCACGCCAGUGAAAUGAGACAGCCCGAGUAAAACUGGCAAGCAAACGCGGGGAGAAGAAAGAAACGUCGUCCAAGGACAACAGGCCUCCCAGCUCUGUGAUGAGCCCAUAUCUGUGCAAAAUAUGCUCAGUCGUUCUUUUCUUUAAGCUUUGUACGAUCUCUCUACAACAGACKGCGUAAUACUCAUUAAGUAAAAAUCAUUUCUUUGGCCUUUACGUGAACAGCUGAUCCCACUGUUUUCAGAGGCUAAAUGACAUUUCCAUCACCUGAGGCGGACUGGGAGGAGAAGGGUCACAAGAAACCUUCAUCCCAUUGGAGGAAGGUGUGAUGAUCCAAAAGGCUGCACUUGCAAUACAUCUGUUCCAAAACUGCAAGAAGAACCUCAGACUUCCACGAUCAGAUUUUGCUGCCAAGUGCAGAAGUCCAGUUCCAAACCUCGUUAACAGCCGGAAGCCUUGUCCUAAGCACAAUAUGGCUCUUGAUGAGUUGUGGCAACUAACAGUAUUUCAUUCUGGUAGGUAGUAAACUGACAGCACUAAUGGUCUUGGUUUUGAACUAGAAUAUGCUGUGUUCUAGUCCCACGCCAGGACUUGAGCUCUUAGCCCUCGCUGCUCCUGCAGCGUAGCACUAGGAGAAGGCUAUGCUACUGGAGGUGAGAACUGAAGCCAAGGUCAUGCCUUGUGCUUAUCUGUGAGACUUCCAUAAACUUCACCAAACUGAAACUGCUUUUCAGAAAAAAAUGAGGAUAACCGUGCUGUUCUAAUCAAGCCCAUCUCAGUAAAAAUAUUCCAAAGCGGAUCAAGGAUCUGUUUGGUAUGUCUGUCUGCGUGCGUGCUGCUCUCUGUGUUAACAGCCACUCCUAGCAUAAAGUAUUAUAGGUGAUCUAAUAUACCGGGCAUGGGGCAGAGGACUGGGUGUAUCCUAGUUUUACGCAGCUCUGACCUCUGGCAGUAGUGCCACGUGUGGCCAUGGCAGCUCAGCCUCUCAUGAAGGCCCUCWUAUUUCAUGUGCUUCUGUACUUGAGAUGUUUGUGACUUGAUUUCAAGAGGUAUGUGGUAACUUGCAGCUAAUUACUUCAGUUUCUGCYGUGCCUCAAACUCAGGUCUUUGCAUACCCAGAAUUUUAACAAGCCCUUAAAAACUGACGCUGUUCUCUUUUUUUUUUUUAAUUUUUUUUCCCUGUAGCCUUUUUGCAAUGUGCAAAAUGCAUUGCCUCCCAGAGGAGCUGUGAACGUUAAUUGAUACUCACAAAGCACUAUGUAAAUAUUAAGUAUUAAAAGUGUAUUAACUUAUAUAGUACUUUAAAAUACCUUCAAAUGAAAAGCUCUGUCCAAGGAUUUAUAAACAGCUUGUACUUUUUGGCCUGAAGAGAGAGAAAUCUUUUUUUUAAAGGCAGAAGCUUAACUCAGAAUAUGCUCGGCUGUUUACUUGUAUAUUCAUAUUGCUCAAUAAAAUAUUUACAUUAAAAUGUAUUUUCA
rnacentral:lncRNA from 1 species